rnacentral:rRNA from 1 species
UACGUAGGGCGCAAGCGUUGUCCGGAAUUAUUGGGCGUAAAGAGCUCGUAGGCGGCCUGUUGCGUCCGCUGUGAAAUCCCGGGGCUCAACCCCGGGCCUGCAGUGGAUACGGGCUGGCUAGAGGCAGGCAGGGGAGAACGGAAUUCCUGGUGUAGCGGUGAAAUGCGCAGAUAUCAGGAGGAACACCGGUGGCGAAGGCGGUUCUCUGGGCCUGACCUGACGCUGAGGAGCGAAAGCGUGGGGAGCGAACAGG